rnacentral:rRNA from 1 species
CAGUAGCCACGGGAAUACGGAGGGGGCUAGCGUUGUUCGGAAUUACUGGGCGUAAAGCGCACGUAGGCGGCUUUGUAAGUCAGAGGUGAAAGCCUGGAGCUCAACUCCAGAACUGCCUUUGAGACUGCAUCGCUUGAAUCCAGGAGAGGUGAGUGGAAUUCCGAGUGUAGAGGUGAAAUUCGUAGAUAUUCGGAAGAACACCAGUGGCGAAGGCGGCUCACUGGACUGGUAUUGACGCUGAGGUGCGAAAGCGUGGGGAGCAAACAGGAUUAGAGACCCCUGUAGUCCCUGUCUCUUAUAC